AGACCGAUAGCGCACAAGUAGAGUGAUCGAAAGAUGAAAAGCACUUUGGAAAGAGAGUCAAACAGCACGUGAAAUUGUUGAAAGGGAAGCGCUUGCAGCCAGACUUGCUUUCAGUUGCUCAUCCGGGCUUUUGCCCGGUGCACUCUUCUGUAGGCAGGCCAGCAUCAGUUUGGGCGGUGGGAUAAAGGCUUUUGGAAUGUGGCUCUCUUCGGGGAGGCCUUUAGGGGAAGGUGUAAUACCACCAGCUGGGACUGAGGUCCGCGCUUCUGCUAGGAUGCUGGCGUAAUGGCUGUCAAGCGGCCCGUCUUGAAACACGGACCAAG
rnacentral:rRNA from 1 species